rnacentral:rRNA from 1 species
GCCUACGGGGGGCAGCAGUAGGGAAUAUUGGACAAUGGGGGAAACCCUGAUCCAGCAAUGCCGCGUGAGUGAUGAAGGCCUUAGGGUUGUAAAGCUCUUUUACCCGGGAUGAUAAUGACAGUACCGGGAGAAUAAGCUCCGGCUAACUCCGUGCCAGCAGCCGCGGUAAUACGGAGGGAGCUAGCGUUGUUCGGAAUUACUGGGCGUAAAGCGCACGUAGGCGGCUAUUCAAGUCAGAGGUGAAAGCCCGGGGCUCGACCCCGGAACUGCCUUUGAAACUAGAUAGCUUGAAUCCAGGAGAGGUG